rnacentral:lncRNA from 1 species
CUUCCUUUCUCCUGUGGGCUCAGGAAUGGAGCUGGGAAGUUAGGCUUGUGCACCAAGCACUCACGCCCGUUCAGUCACUUGCUGUUUCUCCUUCGCAAGUGCUCAUGGUCCGUCUCCCCCAGGGCACCUUCCUCCUUUCUGAGUUCUUCUUCUGAGAGGACCAGGCAUGGUGAACCUCAUGUCAAGAAGAGAUAUAUCCUGAUGUGGGGACAGAGAUCAAUGCAGAGACACCAGCCAGCAAGCAGAACACCUCAGGAGCUAGCUCCAAAUGCAGAUGGACCUAUCACAAAACCCUCACAACAGCGCAGUGGACACUAAUAACUGCAAGUACCAAUGAACGGGUCACAUCCACAGAGAGAGGUCACAGCCUAAGACCCACUGCCUGUAGUCAUACCCCAUUCAAAAUUUCUUCUCUUCUGUUUCUUCA